GACGUAGGGCGCGAGCGUUGUCCGGAUUUAUUGGGCGUAAAGAGCUCGUAGGCGGCUCAUUGCGUCAACCGUGAAAACCAGCAGCUCAACUGUUGGCUUGCGGUUGAUACGGGUGGGCUGGAGUUCGGUAGGGGAGACUGGAAUUCCAGGUGUAGCGGUGAAAUGCGUAGAUAUCUGGAGGAACACCGGUGGCGAAGGCGGCAUCCUGGACCAACACGUGACGCUGAUGAGCGAAAGCCAGGGGAGCAAACGGGAU
rnacentral:rRNA from 1 species